GAUCCUGGCUCAGGACGAACGCUGGCGGCGUGCCUAAUACAUGCAAGUCGAGCGGACCGAUGGGAGCUUGCUCCUUUAGGUUAGCGGCGGACGGGUGAGUAACACGUGGGCAACCUGCCCUGCAGACUGGGAUAACUUCGGGAAACCGGAGCUAAUACCGGAUAACACCGAAAACCGCAUGGUUUUCGGUUGAAAGGCGGCUUUUAGCUGUCACUGCAGGAUGGGCCCGCGGCGCAUUAGCUAGUCGGUGAGG
rnacentral:rRNA from 1 species